rnacentral:rRNA from 1 species
GCAGUCUGCAACUCGACNGCAUGAAGCUGGAAUCGCUAGUAAUCGCGAAUCAGAAUGUCACGGUGAAUACGUUCCCGGGUCUUGUACACACCGCCCGUCACACCAUGGGAGUUGGUAACGCCCGAAGUCAGUGACCCAACCGGAAGGAGGGAGCUGCCGAAGGCGGGACCGGUAACUGGGGUGAAGUCGUAACAAGGUAAC